rnacentral:rRNA from 1 species
GAGUGAAGCGGCAACAGCUCAAAUUUGAAAGCUAGCCUUCGGGUUCGCAUUGUAAUUUGUAGAGGAUGAUUUGGGGAAGCCGCCUGUCUAAGUUCCUUGGAACAGGACGUCAUAGAGGGUGAGAAUCCCGUAUGUGACAGGAAAUGGCACCCUAUGUAAAUCUCCUUCGACGAGUCGAGUUGUUUGGGAAUGCAGCUCUAAAUGGGAGGUAAAUUUCUUCUAAAGCUAAAUAUUGGCGAGAGACCGAUAGCGCACAAGUAGAGUGAUCGAAAGAUGAAAAGCACUUUGGAAAGAGAGUUAAAAAGCACGUGAAAUUGUUGAAAGGGAAGCGCUUGCAAUCAGACUUGUUUAAACUGUUCGGCCGGUCUUCUGACCGGUUUACUCAGUUUGGACAGGCCAGCAUCAGUUUCGGCGGCCGGAUAAAGGCUCUGGGAAUGUGGCCUCCACUUCGGUGGAGGUGUUAUAGCCCAGGGUGUAAUACGGCCAGCCGGGACUGAGGUCCGCGCUUCGGCUAGGAUGCUGGCGUAAUGGUUGUAAGCGACCCGUCUU